AUCUUUUCUGUGCAUUCAUUAAAAUUUAACUCAAUUUGUUUGUUUCAUGAUGUGAUAAAUGCUCGUUCUUCUUGUAUGUUUCCAUCUUUUCAGAUGCAUCCCUUUAUUUAGAAAUUGAUAACAACACUCCGAUUGACACCAGCGAUUGUCCCAUCACAUAUUAUGGACAGGAGUACACAACCGUCUAUACAAACUUCACCGGUGAAGACCUGUUAAUUUGUUUCAACGGCUAUUACAACCCUGAGGGGAACGGAGACUGUAUCAGGGUCCCGAAUACUGAAAACAAAACAGCUAUUGCUUUGAAUAAUAACAAUAAUCCUGCUUCUUGGACCUCGCUGACAGAUUUUGUCCACAGCUCUGUAAGCACCGUCACAAACAACGUAACAUGCUACUUGCACUUCUAUUUCAAAUCAGACAUGGCUCUGUUUAGCAUGGGGUCCCAGUCAGUUGUCAUGUGGGAUGGUGAUCCACAAACGUUUGCUAGUGUUCUGGUCAAUGGAGACGUGGUAGAAAAUGUGUUUGGGAUUCAGAACAAUUUUUCUUUUUCAGACACCAGUGGAUGCAGAAUCUCAGGUUUUGGGGUGAAACCUGGAGAUACACGUCAAAUUCCCAACACCUGUACUUUCCUGACAUGCAGCAGCACCAGGAUUCCCUCCAUGAAGACUUGUGGUUCGCCGGGACGAUGUGA